UCGUGCUAUGCGGGGGGCUGGCGGUCCCCUGUGACCCGAAAUCCGCCAAUGCGGGGCAGAGAGGAACCAUGAGUUCGGUCCGGUGCGAGUCCAGUGGGAAAUGUCCCCGGGUGUUGAAAGCCGGGUCCGGUGAUGGUCGCCACCGUGAACCCCGCCAGGACCGGAAGGUAGCAACGGUAGCAGGUUUGAGACCUGGGUGUGAGGUGACCUUGCCAGAGCCGACAACUCCAGUGACGCAGGGAAGGUGGCGGUCGGAGCUGGGUGCACGA
rnacentral:SRP_RNA from 1 species